CCUACGGGUGGCAGCAGUGAGGAAUAUUGGUCAAUGGACGAGAGUCUGAACCAGCCAAGUAGCGUGAAGGAUGACUGCCCUAUGGGUUGUAAACUUCUUUUAUAUGGGAAUAAAACGUUCCACGUGUGGGAUUUUGUAUGUACCAUAUGAAUAAGGAUCGGCUAACUCCGGGCCAGCAGCCGCGGUAAUACGGAGGAUCCGAGCGUUAUCCGGAUUUAUUGGGUUUAAAGGGAGCGUAGGUGGAUUGUUAAGUCAGUUGUGAAAGUUUGCGGCUCAACCGUAAAAUUGCAGUUGAAACUGGCAGUCUUGAGUACAGUAGAGGUGGGCGGAAUUCGUGGUGUAGCGGUGAAAUGCUUAGACAUCACGAAGAACUCCGAUUGCGAAGGCAGUUCACUGGACUGCAACUGACACUGAGGCUCGAAAGUGUGGGUAUCAAACAGGAUUAGAUACCCCUGUAGUC
rnacentral:rRNA from 1 species